GACGAACGCUGGCGGCGUGCCUAAUACAUGCAAGUUGAGCGCUGAAGGUUGGUACUUGUACCAACUGGAUGAGCAGCGAACGGGUGAGUAACGCGUGGGGAAUCUGCCUUUGAGCGGGGGACAACAUUUGGAAACGAAUGCUAAUACCGCAUAAAAACUUUAAACACAAGUUUUAAGUUUGAAAGAUGCAAUUGCAUCACUCAAAGAUGAUCCCGCGUUGUAUUAGCUAGUUGGUGAGGUAAAGGCUCACCAAGGCGAUGAUACAUAGCCGACCUGAGAGGGUGAUCGGCCACAUUGGGACUGGGACACGGCCCAAACUCCUACGGGAGGCAGCAGGAGGGAAUCUUCGGCGAUGGACGAAAGUCUGACCGAGCAACGCCGCGUGAGUGAAGAAGGUUUUCGGAUCGUAAAACUCUGUUGGUAGAGAAGAACGUUGGUGGGAGUGGAAAGCUCAUCAAGUGACGGUAACUACCCAGAAAGGGACGGCUAACUACGUG
rnacentral:rRNA from 1 species